rnacentral:rRNA from 1 species
AUUGAACGCUGGCGGCAGGCCUAACACAUGCAAGUCGAGCGGAGCGGCGUACGGGUGAGUCAUGCCUAGGAAUCUGCCUGGUAGUGGGGGAUAACGUCCGGCAACGGGCGCUACUACCGCAUACUCUCAGAUGAUCCUAGGUCGGAUUAGCUAGUUGGUGGGGUAAAGGCCUACCAAGGCUACGAUCCGUAACUGGUCUGCGAGGAUGAUCAGUCACACUGGAACUGAGACACGGUCCAGACUCCUACGGUAGGCAGCAGUGGGUAAGAUUGGAAAAUGGGCGAAAGCCUGAUCCAGCCAUGCCGCGUGUGUGAAGAAGGGCUUCGGAUUGUAAAGCACUUUAAGUUGGGAGGCGUUACCAACAGAAUAAGCACCGGCUAACUUCGUGCCAGCAGCCGCGGUAAUUC